rnacentral:rRNA from 1 species
AGAGUUUGAUCCUGGCUCAGAUUGAACGCUGGCGGAAUGCUUUACACAUGCAAGUCGAGCGGCAGCGCGGGGGCAACCCUGGCGGCGAGCGGCGAACGGGUGAGUAACAUAUCGGAACGUACCCCGUCGUGGGGGAUAACACAGCGAAAGCUGUGCUAAUACCGCAUACGACCUGAGGGUGAAAGGCGGGGGAUCGCAAGACCUCGCGCGAUGGGAGCGGCCGAUAUCGGAUUAGCUUGUUGGUGAGGUAAAGGCUCACCAAGGCGACGAUCCGUAGCUGGUCUGAGAGGACGACCAGCCACACUGGAACUGAGACACGGUCCAGACUCCUACGGGAGGCAGCAGGUGGGGUAAUUUUGGACAAUGGGGGCAACCCUGAUCCAGCCAUUCCGCGUGAGUGAAGAAGGCCUUCGGGUUGUAAAGCUCUUUCAGGUGGAAAGAAAUCACUACCCCGAAUACGGGUGGUGGAUGACGGUACCAUCAGAAGAAGCACCGGCUAACUACGUG